rnacentral:lncRNA from 1 species
CGCGGGGCUGUCAGCAGCAGCCGCGCGGGCAUUUUCCACGUGGGUGGCAGGAAAUAAACACGAAAUCGAGCAUCAGGUUGCGUCGCGUGGAACAACCGGUGGUACUGAGACACGGGUCUUCUCUGCUGUCGGUCCCGGCCCCCUGCGCAGCACGACCCAAGUUUAGCUCAACUUAACCCUAUCCCAUCCCACUCCCGGCCGGCUCCGGUGGAAAGCUUGGGGGUAAAAAAAAAUUGGGAGAUAAAAAAACCCCACAGUAGUGGAUCUCGGCUGGUCCGGGCGGACCGUAACCUGUCGGGCGCGCUCUGUCCCGCCCGACCGCGGCUUUCCGCAGCGCGGGACAGGGAGCACCCGCACUCCUGCCCCUGCCGCUGCGGAGGUUUGCCCAUCCGCUGGCGGCAGGGAGGCGAGGCUGAACGAGGGGAAACAGCCUCAGGCUUGCGGACAGCGGGGGAUACACCAGGGAGCGGGAAUAAAGUCCUGCGGAGGGCCGAGCGGCAGCGGAGCGCUGCAGGGCGCUCGGCGACAGGACCCUACUUCGGAUCAACUCAUUAUCCCGAAUAAACGAUGUGUCAUUCCCAUUAUUUAUGUUUCACUGCAGCCAAAGUAUCUGGACCUCGUUUUGAUCCAGGACGGGUCAAAGUUGCUUUACAUCACCUUGGCUGGUUCCAAAGGAAAACUUCCAAUGAAAGGAUCAUUGCAACAUUGCCUCUUGAAAUACAUCCAGGACAAAACACAUCCAGGGAUUGCAAGGUGGAGGGAGGAAGCGGGAGCGCGUUGAGCGUGAGCCGCCAGCCGAGCCGUCACCGCGCGGCUCACGGAACAUCCAUCCAUCCUACCCGGGCUCGGGGGGGCCGUGGGAGGCAGGCAGCAGCUUCACCAUCCUCACAGGAGAGAGGUUUAUGGCUAGGGUGCUUUUUUUUUUUUUNNNNNNNNNNNNNNNNNNNNUUUUUUUUUUUUUUUUUUUUUUAAUUUAUUACUAUUAUUUUCCCCCCUGAGCUUCAAUUUCCAACGACUUAUUUAGAUGUAAGCAACGACAGCUGUAAUCAUGUUUUAAAUCUUGCUUUGUAUCCUUAGUUAUAAUGUUGUUCAAUUAAUAUUCAGAAUAAUGGAAGUGAUGUGCCCCUUUGAAAAAGACUUGAAUGCAGGCCAAAGCUUUGGGAAACUGAUUCUCAAGAGGAUUAAUCAGCAUUUAAAACUUGCAUUAAUAAAAAUCUGAUCUUCUACUCUGUAGCA